rnacentral:rRNA from 1 species
UACGUAGGGCGCAAGCGUUAUCCGGAAUUAUUGGGCGUAAAGAGCUCGUAGGCGGUUUGUCGCGUCUGCCGUGAAAGUCCGGGGCUCAACUCCGGAUCUGCGGUGGGUACGGGCAGGCUAGAGUGAUGUAGGGGAGACUGGAAUUCCUGGUGUAGCGGUGAAAUGCGCAGAUAUCAGGAGGAACACCGAUGGCGAAGGCAGGUCUCUGGGCAGUAACUGACGCUGAGGCGCGAAAGCAUGGGGAGCGAACAGG